rnacentral:rRNA from 1 species
AUUGAACGCUGGCGGCAGGCCUAACACAUGCAAGUCGAGCGAGUGGCGGACGGGUGAGUAAUGUCUGGGGAACUGCCUGAUAGAGGGGGAUAACUACUGGAAACGGUGGCUAAUACCGCAUACCAUCGGAUGUGCCCAUAUGGGAUUAGCUAGUAGGUGGGGUAAAGGCUCACCUAGGCGACGAUCCCUAGCUGGUAUGAGAGGAUGACCAGCCAAACUGGGACUGAGACACGGUCCAGACUCCUACGGGAGGCAGCAGUGGGGAAUAUUGCACAAUGGGCGCAAGCCUGAUGCAGCCAUGCCGCGUGUAUGAAGAAGGCCUUAGGGUUGUAAAGUACUUUCAGCGGGGAGGCGUUACCCGCAGAAGAAGCACCGGCUAACUCCGUGCCAGCAGCCGCGGUAAUAC